CCUACGGGUGGCAGCAGUGGGGGAUAUUGCACAAUGGGGGGAACCCUGAUGCAGCGACGCCGCGUGGGUGAAGGAGCGUUUCGGCUCGUAAACUUCUAUCAACAGGGACGAAAGAAAUGACGGUACCUGAAUAAGAAGCCCCGACUAACUACGUGCCAGCAGCCGCGGUAAUACGUAGGGGGCAAGCGUUAUCCGGAAUUACUGGGGGUAAAGGGUGAGUAGGCGGCAUGGUAAGCCAGAUGUGAAAGCCUUGGGCUUAACCCGAGGAUUGCAUUUGGAACUAUCAAGCUAGAGUACAGGAGAGGAAAGCGGAAUUCCUAGUGGAGCGGUGAAAUGCGUAGAUAUUAGGAAGAACACCAGUGGCGAAGGCGGCUUUCUGGACUGAAACUGACGCUGAGGCACGAAAGCGUGGGGAGCGAACAGGAUUAGAUACCCUAGUAGUC
rnacentral:rRNA from 1 species